rnacentral:rRNA from 1 species
AUUGAACGCUGGCGGCAUGCUUUACACAUGCAAGUCGAACGGCAGCACGGGGGCAACCCCGGUGGCGUGUGGCGAACGGGUGAGUAAUGCAUCGGAACGUGCCCUGUCGUGGGGGAUAACACAUCGAAAGAUGUGCUAAUACCGCAUACGACCUGAGGGUGAAAGCGGGGGACCGUAAGGCCUCGCGCGAUAGGAGCGGCCGAUGUCUGAUUAGCUAGUUGGUGGGGUAAAGGCCUACCAAGGCGACGAUCAGUAGCUGGUCUGAGAGGACGACCAGCCACACUGGGACUAAGACACGGCCCAGACUCCUACGGGAGGCAGCAGCGGGGAAUUUUGGACAAUGGGGGCAACCCUGAUCCAGCCAUGCCGCGUGCGGGAAGAAGGCCUUCGGGUUGUAAACCGCUUUUGGCAGGAACGAAACGGUGCGGGCGAAUACCCUGUGCUAAUGACGGUACCUGCAGAAUAAGCACCGGCUAACUACGUGCCAGCAGCCGCCGUAAAAC